AGUGAUGCUGUUAUUGCUGGUCCACAGAUUAUACUUCAAAGAUCAUUGACCUAGAUAAUUCAGAAAACAUUGCAUAGUUGCUAACAAGAAAUAUAAUUGACAGAUUUUAAUUUUUCUCUUUUAUAGGGCUUAUGAAUCAUUAUAUGAUUUCUUAUAAGAAUUCUGGCAGCCAUGCCAUCCUUUUUGGUCUUAUCCUAAUUUGAUAUACAAAAAAAAAAAAAAAAAAAAGAGAAAAGAAAAGAAAAAAAGAAGAAAAAAAAAAGAACACUGAGUUGCUAUUCAUCUUCUUCAAUAACAUCUUUUCUGAAAUAAGAAGUGAGAAGCAAAGAAGACCCCUCAAUGAUGCUGCAGCUGAUCAGCAAGCCGGUGCUGGACCCACAGACCCAUUGGGGUCUUUCUGCUUUCUCGCCCACCCUGGAAUUUGGAGGAGCUUCAUGGGUGAAAUCUGAAACUGGCUGCGAUACACAGAAGGCAAAGAGAGACUGAAGAAAGAGACAGAGCACUCCAAAUCGAAACCACACUUAAGGCAAAAAGACCUCAUCAUCUCCAGUCUCAAGAGCAGCAAAAGAAAAUCUUUAAAAACAUUUCCUUGUGAACCUGCUGCAUCUACUUUCUCCACCAAUCUUGGCUCACCUGUGGUGGGAUGAUUUCAUUCUACCUGGAGGAGGUGUUCUGAUUAGCCAUCCAUGGUUUGAGAAAGCUCCAUCCUCCUGCUGGAUAUGAAGGUUCUCCUCUUAUGCACAUCCACCUUCACACUGAAAAUUCCUUGUAAGGUAUCAAUUUUACCUUUUUCAUAUUAUACAUGAAUCCUACUAUAAUUUUCUUUUGAGUUUCUUUUUUUGAUGUAAACCAAGACUUACUAACGUGCAAAAUGUAUAUCAGCCAACUCUUCUAUAUAAAGAUGUGUGUUAUUUCGUGUAUUGUACCCAUAUCUAUGACAACAUAGUCAUAGAAAUUAAUAUUAUAACAAAGACAGUUAUCUCUGGAAUCUGGCCCCCUUCUGUUCAUUUCUAUUGUAAGCUCUUAGUUCAAUUUUUUUUCUUGUCUAAAUAAUCAUAAAAAAUGAUUUUAACUAUUUUCCGUAUUGUGUAUAUUUCCUUACUGUAAUCCCUAGGGAACUUCUUGAAAGUCUGCUCAAAUAAUGACAAGUUUCCACCAUACUUUAGAGGGAGACAAAACCCUUUGGCCCAAUAGGUGCAUGAUAUUUGUCUACAUUUGAUAUAAUAAGCUUCUCUACAUUUAUGAAGCAACCUAAAUUGCUUAAUAACCUGGGGUCAUGCUACUAAUUGCUUCCACCAUCAUGCCGUUCUUCAUGCUUUUCUCCAAAGAAAUCAUUGAUGUCACAUUUAGUCAUUUCCUUACCUCCACCUUUUCAAAUACUGUAUAUUCUAAAAAGGUAACGACACCCCCCCUCUAUGAAGUUUCCCUAAGUAACUAGAAUUGCUCUCUUCAUCAGUGCUCUGAUAGUACUUAAUUUAUAGCUCUCUAAAGCCCCUCAUCACUUUUUACUGUCUUUGAGUUAUUUGUGUUCAUGUUUUACUUCUCCCAAUAGACACAUAUUUGAGAACCAGAAUAAUUUAUUUAUGAUUGAAUCACCCACAGAGCACAG